CAACAGUAGAAGGUGUUUGUACAGGAUCCAUUUUGAGACAACGUAACAAUCUUCAAACCAGACAGGAGUGAAUAAAGAGACUCUGCAGAGGGACUACUUUCAACUGCUCUCAUGGAUCCCACAUAUAAACAGAAGAAGGUGAAUGUGGAUCAUGGUGGAGAGUGCAUGCUGAAAUCAGGGCCGAAAAUAUAUGCCUGUCAGCUCACCCUGGACCCAAACACCACAAACCCAAACCUGUUACUGUCUGAGGGGAACAGGAAGGUGACAUGGGUGGAAGGGGAGGAGCAUUAUGAAGACCAUCUAGACAGAUUUGACUAUCAUCCCCAAGUUCUCUGCAGAGAAAGCUUAUCUAGGUCUCGCUUUUACUGGGAGGUGGAGUGGCAUAGUGGUAACACUGUCAUUGGUGUGGUGUACAAAGGAAUUAGUAGGAAGAGUGAGGGGUGGGACAGCAGGAUUGGAGCUAAUAGGAUGUCCUGGAGUUUGUACUGCUCUGAUAAUGGUUAUUACUUUUACCAUGCUGGACUCCCUAGAAGCCCCAUCCCUGGCUGUGUUUCCCACAGAGUUGGUGUGUAUCUGGACUGGCCAGCUGGUACUUUGUCCUUUUAUAGUGUGUCCUCCUCUGGUGAACUAAAUCACAUCCACACAUACUACACCACAUUCACUGAACCAGUCUAUCCUGGGUUUAGGAUUUAUAAAGACUCUUCUUUGUCAUUGUGUCAUCUGGAGUAAGUCAUGAGACCUCACCUGCAAACAAUAUACUGUUUAUAUACUGUAUACAUACUGUCUAGCGAACAUACUCUUCUAUGCCAUGUGAAUGCACAGCUCUAUGUGCGUUACGCAUAGAGAAUACCCCCACACACACAACUGAUUUCCUCUGAGUUGACUCUCUCUCCCUGCGACCACAAUGGGUCCGUCCGAAAUGGUACCAUAUUCACUAUAUACUACUGCACUACUUUUGACCAGUCCUAUGGACCCUGAUCGAAAGUAGUGCACUACAUAUGGAAUAGUGUGUCAUUUCGGGGAAACACUCUCGCCCUGUGACCACAAGGUGUCCCCACUCCCUCACAGAAACAGAUAGAUUUACCGUUUUAUUUGAAUGGCUUUGGUGCAAUUUUCACAACGCUUUGUACAAAACUCAAAACCAAUCAUCAAAAAGGCAGUUGUUUCCAAACUCUAAGCACAUUUUCGAUUGACUAAGAUUAUGUAUGUCAACUUUUAGAAAUGUUUAUUUUUACUUUUUGAAAAUAAUCAUAUUAAUGGACCAAAAUACAACAAAAAAAUCUAGAUUUAUAAGUAAAUGCAAAAAUGUAAUUUUAACCUGUGGCGCCAGGCCUUAAUCCGACUGCUCUUAAUUGAUAAUAACUUAACUUAAUAAAAACGUAUAGAUUUUAAA